rnacentral:rRNA from 1 species
AACACUAGGUUGCCCUUCGUCAGUUGAGGAUACAUCUAGAGGCGGCCGAAGAAGGUAAGGUAAACAGGUGGGGCUGAGGGGACUAGAGCGGUAGGAGGAGAGUGUCUAGGAGGAGGGAGGGGUACGUGCCGGCGACGGUGGAGGGGUGGGUACCGGUAGACGGGGAGACGCAGGGCGUCGGCGGCACUGCUAUCGGAGCAGGGGUCUCCGCCCCUGAAGGGACUUCCGCUUGGAUCGCCGCCAUGUCAACUACACCCAGCCCGCCGCCAGUCUAGACGGUGUCGGUCUUGGCCGCAGGAGAAGGAGGGAUAGGACGAAGGAGGGUACUGACUCUUCUCCCGAAACAGUUCAUAGGGUACUGCCUCUAGUUGUACCCUCCGACGAAGGAGGCUAGGGUCUAGCUGGUAGGCAGCUACCUCCGGUACUCUCGGUGCACCCGUGUGUGUACCGACGCAAAGUUCGACGUCGAGCUAUCUACGUCCCUGCGGCGGUACCUUAUCAGUCCCAGAGGGAAGAGGGCAAAGCAGACUAGACGGUGACGGUCGGUAAAGGCCGCGGGGACGUGGUGCUGCCACUUCCCGUGUUACUACUUAAGUUGCGUUCUAGGACGACCACUAGGUUGUCUACCCUCGGGUUUUCUGCGUUUGUGUAGACUACGGAUUCUUUUCCUGACCGUUUAUUUUAUCCUUAGGUUUGAACGUUUUAAGAGAAAAUGUCUGGCGAUCAUGAUGACCCUAAGAUCCAUGUUCCGUGUUUCAUUAACGAGGUUUAUGCGAGUAUGUUCAACGUUUUUACUUAAGAGCUUACAAAGCUGGUUACCAUUCAGUGUCCGAACCAAACAGAAGUACAACCGGAAACAAACUAUGUUACCAUUCAGUGUUCGAACCAAACAGAAGUACAACCGGAAAUAAACUAUGCAUUUACCGGAAGUAUUACACGUUAGUAGAUGAACGAAUGUAAUAACAUGAAAAAACAACGACUUCGUGUAUGUUCGGUCUUUAUCUUGUAAAAAGAGUGGUAAUCUUUAACACUUGAACGCGGUCGUACAUCAACAAAGUCUCUUCAAAUCAAACUAAUUAAAUCUAUUAAUAAGAACACAAAAUUGAUGUUUAAGAAAACACUUUAAUAGGUUAAGAAAAACGUAUCGUGGAUUAACAACUACAUCAUGUUGUCUGUGUUCUUAAACGAACGAUCGACAACACCAGUACUGUUAAGCACUCCUUCUAUGCGUACGUACGUGCUUAUAUCAUUAAUAUGUUAACAGUACUAUCACCAAUAUAGAAAGACGAUUAAUCAGUAACACAACAAAGAAAUAAAAGCACUGAUUCCGGAUCAAACCGUUGUGUCAAAAAGGUUUUGGUACCAUUACUUUUGGAGCCAUAAGGUUACACACCCGUUACUUAUGAAGCCAAAGAUUUUUGGCGUCAAAAAGAGUCAAAUUCGUUUUGAUAUCUCUACAAACCGUUCACGUCAAAAAGAAUCAAAGAACCAAAACUGGUGAGUAACGUACCUAUUAGGAUCUAUGUCGAUCGACUUGGUUUAACUCGAUGUUGUUUCCUCAAUAUGUUGCUGCACUAGUCGAACACGAUUAAUUGCCGACCACGUACGCCGUACGGCUAUCGGAACAGUACGUGCGCUUGUAGGAGAUCUACGAUCCUAUACAACAACUUAUUAGAACAUAGAGACCGGUGUACCUUAGCUAGUCGAUCGAUCGAAUCUGACAACACAUAUUGAAACGAGUAAUAGUUAGCUAGAUGAGGUCCCAGAUUCGGAAGCGAUUUAGAAAACAUGCACAUGUGUGUGGUAGGCUAUCCUGACUUGGAGAUCAUGAUAGAUUACAUAUCCGACGAAGAACAACGUGAUCUUGUUAUCGGUUGCUAACUUCUGUAGUCGCUGUCUCAUCAGUUCGAAGGAUCCACCAUUAGAAUUAAAACACCGACGCCUUCUCUACCCACUCCUCCUGGCCUUCUUCUACCUGAGCUCGUUCACAAAGAAUCAAAUGUUUUUUCUCCAACUCUGGAGAAAAAAUCUAUGUCGUUUUUUUGGUACCAAAAUCUAUAUGGUGCCAAACAUUUUGAUUUCAUAAACAGCUUUGGUUUGUGCAGUUUCAUAAAUUUUGACCCCAAAGAGGUUUUUGGUACCAUAAGAGAAUUUUGAAGUUUUUAUGACUCAUCGGUUUGUGUCGUAUUCAUAAAAGAUAAAAGUUAAUUGAACUCGAUUUAUUUAAAGACUAAAGAAGUAUUGUCCUAGGUUUCUAAAUCGACCUUACCUGAGAUCUGGUACCUGUUAAAUUAUAAGCGAGAAUUAAUCCUACCGUGUAAGUCAUACAAUUUACGUACGAUUUAAUAUAAUGCCAAAUAACACUACCUAUAACCGAUACGUUUGAAACUACAAACUACUUAGAUGUAGUAUAUACGUAAUAAACUUAGUACAUUAACUUACGGUCAUAAAAAAAACAAUGUCAUCCGAUAAUGGUGUUCGAUGAAAACCAACGUUGUACAACCGUGGUACUUUUUAAUCGCAACGCAGCGGUGCGGCUGGACAAAACAUCGUGAUCCGACACCACUGUCUUGUGAAGUAUAUCAGCGUUAUUGAAUAGUGGUGUUUUAGAGUCAGGCAACUCUAUUGAUGAACAGUG